CUGAGGCCCAGAGAAGUAAGUUAUGUGGCCAGAAUCACAUGCCAGGGAGCUCAUGCUCUUAACUAUGCUGUGCCACUUCUCUGCUGAUGCCACUCAACUGUACUGCAUCACUGGAAGGGUUUUGGAAGUGAGUCCUGGAUUAGCAUCACCUAAUGAAAGCUAACUCCUCAGGAAGAUGCAUAAAGAGCCUGGGAGGCUGAGAUUGAGUGGCCAAUUAAGCCAGCUGGACAUUUGUCUCAACUGUCUUCUUCUGACUGCAAUAACAUGAGCUAAGAAGAAAGAACUGCAAUAAAGUAUGAGAAAGGAUCUGUAACCAUGCUGUCGAGCACGUAUGUGGAAAGAGACCAAAAAGAGGAAAACUGUAUUAAGUUGAACCAAG
rnacentral:lncRNA from 1 species